UACUCAUGCUCCCCAGCCAGGCACGGCACUGGAGAUGUCAGGAUCCUUGAAGGAUGUCUAACAAGGUGCUGAUUAUAGUGGUAACUUUUGUGAUAUGAAUAUUUAACUACUGGGAACUGGACCAAGACCACUUGUGUACUUCAUGCUGGCCACCAAACUUCCAUCAAAAGGUGUUUAAUUGAGAAAUUUGGAAACUCGUUGUAGAAAAUGACAGAGUUGCCAUGGAAGCAAGCCACCAGAGACAAAGAAAAAAAGCUGGCAUACGCCAUCUGCAGAGAAGCAUGGACCCUGCUCAGUUGUACUAGUCUGUACUGUGAUGAGUGUUGCAAACACCAUGUGCCCUAUCCUGUAGUAUUUCCUGCAAGAGGAACCACCGUGCUGAUAACGGCAAUGUCCUUCAAGUAGCCCUGCUGGAAGCCAUGGAAUGAAACAAUUCCUGGUUGCCGUUGGCAGUUGUGCAGCAGAUGAAUACAGUGGAGUGCUGGUUCUUGCCCCGAGAAACAAGCACUGAAUAGUGGGAUCAUAUCAUUAUGCAAGUAUGGGAUAAUGAGCAGUGGCUGCAGAACUUUUGUAUGCACAAAGCAACUUUCCAGGAACUGUUUGCGGAGCUCUACCCAGCCCUGCAGCACAGCAACACUACAAUGAGACCUGCUCUGAGAGUGGAGACGCGAGUGGCGAUUGCUGUGUGGAAGCUUGCAAUGCCAGACUGCUACCGAUCAGUGGGAAAUCAAUUUGGAGUUGGAAUGUACCUGUUGGACAAUCAAAGGAGUUACUCCAUUCCGAUGGACCCCAAAUCAGAA